AUGAACGCUAGCUACAGGCUUAACACAUGCAAGUCGAGGGGCAGCAUGGUCUUAGCUUGCUAAGGCCGAUGGCGACCGGCGCACGGGUGAGUAACACGUAUCCAACCUGCCGUCUACUCUUGGACAGCCUUCUGAAAGGAAGAUUAAUACAAGAUGGCAUCAUGAGUCCGCAUGUUCACAUGAUUAAAGGUAUUCCGGUAGACGAUGGGGAUGCGUUCCAUUAGAUAGUAGGCGGGGUAACGGCCCACCUAGUCUUCGAUGGGUAGGGGUUCUGAGAGGAAGGUCCCCCACAUUGGAACUGAGACACGGUCCAAACUCCUACGGGAGGCAGCAGUGAGGAAUAUUGGUCAAUGGGCGAGAGCCUGAACCAGCCAAGUAGCGUGAAGGAUGACUGCCCUAUGGGUUGUAAACUUCUUUUAUAAAGGAAUAAAGUCGGGUAUGGAUACCCGUUUGCAUGUACUUUAUGAAUAAGGAUCGGCUAACUCCGUGCCAGCAGCCGCGGUAAUACGGAGGAUCCGAGCGUUAUCCGGAUUUAUUGGGUUUAAAGGGAGCGUAGAUGGAUGUUUAAGUCAGUUGUGAAAGUUUGCGGCUCAACCGUAAAAUUGCAGUUGAUACUGGAUAUCUUGAGUGCAGUUGAGGCAGGCGGAAUUCGUGGUGUAGCGGUGAAAUGCUUAGAUAUCACGAAGAACUCCGAUUGCGAAGGCAGCCUGCUAAGCUGCAACUGACAUUGAGGCUCGAAAGUGUGGGUAUCAAACAGGAUUAGAUACCCUGGUAGUCCACACGGUAAACGAUGAAUACUCGCUGUUUGCGAUAUACAGCAAGCGGCCAAGCGAAAGCGUUAAGUAUUCCACCUGGGGAGUACGCCGGCAACGGUGAAACUCAAAGGAAUUGACGGGGGCCCGCACAAGCGGAGGAACAUGUGGUUUAAUUCGAUGAUACGCGAGGAACCUUACCCGGGCUUAAAUUGCAGAUGAAUUACGGUGAAAGCCGUAAGCCGCAAGGCAUCUGUGAAGGUGCUGCAUGGUUGUCGUCAGCUCGUGCCGUGAGGUGUCGGCUUAAGUGCCAUAACGAGCGCAACCCUUGUUGUCAGUUACUAACAGGUUCCGCUGAGGACUCUGACAAGACUGCCAUCGUAAGAUGUGAGGAAGGUGGGGAUGACGUCAAAUCAGCACGGCCCUUACGUCCGGGGCUACACACGUGUUACAAUGGGGGGUACAGAGGGCCGCUACCACGCGAGUGGAUGCCAAUCCCCAAAACCUCUCUCAGUUCGGACUGGAGUCUGCAACCCGACUCCACGAAGCUGGAUUCGCUAGUAAUCGCGCAUCAGCCACGGCGCGGUGAAUACGUUCCCGGGCCUUGUACACACAGCCCGUCAAGCCAUGGGAGCCGGGGGUACCUGAAGUGCGUAACCGCGAGGAGCGCCCUAGGGUAAAACUGGUGACUGGGGCU
rnacentral:rRNA from 1 species